rnacentral:rRNA from 1 species
GAGUUUGAUCCUGGCUCAGGACGAACGCUGGCGGCGUGCCUAACACAUGCAAGUCGAACGGAGAAUUUCAAUAAGUUUACUUAGCGAAAUUUUUAGUGGCGGACGGGUGAGUAACGCGUGGGUAACCUACCCAUAAAUCCGGGACAACCCUUGGAAACGAGGGCUAAUACCGGAUAAUCUUAAAGCUUGGCAUCAAGUUUUAAGGAAAGGUGGCCUCUGAGAAUGCUACCGAUUAUGGAUGGACCCGCGUCUGAUUAGCUAGUUGGUGGGGUAAAGGCCUACCAAGGCGACGAUCAGUAGCCGGCCUGAGAGGGUGAACGGCCACACUGGAACUGAGACACGGUCCAGACUCCUACGGGAGGCAGCAGUGGGGAAUCUUCCGCAAUGGACGAAAGUCUGACGGAGCAACGCCGCGUGAGUGAAGAAGGCCUUCGGGUCGUAAAGCUCUGUCGUUUGGGACGAACGUGCUAUGUGUGAAUAAUGCGUAGUAAUGACGGUACCAAAGGAGGAAGCCACGGCUAACUACGUGCCAGCAGCCGCGGUAAUACGUAGGUGGCAAGCGUUGUCCGGAAUUAUUGGGCGUAAAGGGCGUGUAGGUGGGAUUUUAAGUCAUGUGUCUAAGUGCGGGGCUCAACCCCGUAUAGGCGCAAGAAACUGAGAUUCUUGAGUGCAGGAGAGGAAAGUGGAAUUCCCAGUGUAGCGGUGAAAUGCGUAGAUAUUGGGAGGAACACCAGUGGCGAAGGCGGCCUCCUGGCACAACACUGACGCUCAGGUGCGAAAGCGUGGGGAGCAAACAGGAUUAGAUACCCUGGUAGUCCACGCCCGUAACGAUGUCUACUAG